rnacentral:rRNA from 1 species
ACACUCCUACGGGAGGCAGCAGUGGGGAAUUUUGGACAAUGGGCGAAAGCCUGAUCCAGCAAUGCCGCGUGUGUGAAGAAGGCCUUCGGGUUGUAAAGCACUUUUGUCCGGAAAGAAAUCCUUGGCUCUAAUACAGUCGGGGGAUGACGGUACCGGAAGAAUAAGCACCGGCUAACUACGUGCCAGCAGCCGCGGUAAUACGUAGGGUGCGAGCGGUAAUCGGAAUUACUGGGCGUAAAGCGUGCGCAGGCGGUUUGCUAAGACCGAUGUGAAAUCCCCGGGCUCAACCUGGGAACUGCAUUGGUGACUGGCAGGCUAGAGUAUAGCAGAGGGGGGUAGAAUUCCACGUGUAGCAGUGAAAUGCGUAGAGAUGUGGAGGAAUACCGAUGGCGAAGGCAGCCCCCUGGGCCAAUACUGACGCUCAUGCACGAAAGCGUGGGGAGCAAACAGGAUUAGAUACCCUGGUAGUCCCA